AUGGAGAAGGGGCCCCGAGCUUCGCUGGCGAUCUUAUGGCUUCAGCUGAGCUGGGUGUGCAGUGAUGAUAAGGUGAUACAGAGUCCCCCAUCUCUGCUUGUCCAUGAGGGAGACAAUGCAACUCUCAACUGCCGUUACGAGGUGUCUGGGUUUCAAAACCUACAGUGGUAUAAACAGGAAGAGAAUUCUCCAAUAUUUCUGUUUAGGCUCUUUGCAAGUGGGAUUGACUAUGGAAGAAUGAGAGGCACGUUAGAUAAGAAUGAACGUCUCAGCACCCUGCAUAUCACAGCCACCCAGCCCGGGGACACAGCCACCUACCUCUGCGCAGUGGAGGCACAGUGCUCUCUUGUCUCCUGCAGCAUGUACAUAAAAGCUACAGCUGAGGAUCCUGCAACUCUUAGAUGA